rnacentral:tRNA from 1 species
GCGCCUAGUAGCUCAAAAGCCAGAGCACCGGUGUUGUAAGCCGGUCGCGCGGGUUAAAAUCCCGCCUGACGCU